GGGGGAUAUUGCGCAAUGGGGGAAACCCUGACGCAGCAACGCCGCGUGAAGGAUGAAGGUCUUCGGAUUGUAAACUUCUUUUAUUAAGGACGAAGAAAGUGACGGUACUUAAUGAAUAAGCUCCGGCUAACUACGUGCCAGCAGCCGCGGUAAUACGUAGGGAGCAAGCGUUGUCCGGAUUUACUGGGUGUAAAGGGUGCGUAGGCGGCUUUGCAAGUCAGAUGUGAAAUCUAUGGGCUCAACCCAUAGCCUGCAUUUGAAACUGCAGAGCUUGAGUGAAGUAGAGGCAGGCGGAAUUCCCCGUGUAGCGGUGAAAUGCGUAGAGAUGGGGAGGAACACCAGUGGCGAAGGCGGCCUGCUGGGCUUUAACUGACGCUGAGGCACGAAAGCGUGGGUAGCAAAC
rnacentral:rRNA from 1 species